GAUGAACGCUGGCGGCGUGCCUAAUACAUGCAAGUCGAGCGAACAGACGAGGAGCUUGCUCCUCUGACGUUAGCGGCGGACGGGUGAGUAACACGUGGAUAACCUACCUAUAAGACUGGGAUAACUUCGGGAAACCGGAGCUAAUAACGGAUAAUAUAUUGAACCGCAUGGUUCAAUAGUGAAAGACGGUUUUGCUGUCACUUAUAGAUGGAUCUGCGCCGCAUUAGCUAGUUGGUAAGGUAACGGCUUACCAAGGCGACGAUGCGUAGCCGACCUGAGAGGGUGAUCGGCCACACUGGAACUGAGACACGGUCCAGACUCCUACGGGAGGCAGCAGUAGGGAAGCUUCCGCAAUGGGCGAAAGCCUGACGGAGCAACGCCGCGUGAGUGAUGAAGGUCUUCGGAUCGUAAAACUCUGUUAUUAGGGAAGAACAAAUGUGUAAGUAACUAUGCACGUCUUGACGGUACCUAAUCAGAAAGCCACGGCUAACUACGUG
rnacentral:rRNA from 1 species